rnacentral:lncRNA from 1 species
AUUGUUGAGGAUUAAUUCGUUGGUCAUCUUGCAAUGUUGUUUUGUAUUGUUAAAUUUCGUUAAUUUGCACUCCAAAUUAUUGAUUCUAUGUAUCUUUUGACUAAUUUAUAUGUGAUUUUUGCAUUUUCUAUUGUUAAAUUUUGUUAAUUUGGGCUUCAAAUUAUUUGUUUUGUAUUGUUUUUGACUAAUUUAUAUGUAAUUUUUUCAUUUUCCUUGCGAUUUCACAUAUUUGAUGGAGGCUCUCCG